CACGUAGGGAGCAAGCGUUGUCCGGAUUUAUUGGGCGUAAAGAGCUCGUAGGCUGUUCGAUAAGUCGGGUGUGAAACCUCCAGGCUCAACCUGGAGACGCCACCCGAUACUGUCAUGACUAGAGUCCGGUAGGGGAGCGUGGAAUUCCUGGUGUAGCGGUGAAAUGCGCAGAUAUCAGGAGGAACACCGGUGGCGAAGGCGGGUCUCUGGGCCGAUACUGACGCUGAGGAGCGAAAGCGUGGGGAGCGAACAGG
rnacentral:rRNA from 1 species